rnacentral:rRNA from 1 species
UACGAAGGGGGCUAGCGUUGUUCGGAAUUACUGGGCGUAAAGCGCACGUAGGCGGACUAUUAAGUCAGGGGUGAAAUCCCGGGGCUCAACCCCGGAACUGCCUUUGAUACUGGUAGUCUCGAGUCCGGAAGAGGUGAGUGGAAUUCCGAGUGUAGAGGUGAAAUGCGCAGAUAUCGGGAGGAACACCAAUGGCGAAGGCAGCUCGCUGGGACGGUACUGACGCUGAGACGCGAAAGCGUGGGGAGCAAACAGG